AAAUCCAGGCUUAACUACGUGCCCGCCAGCCCGCGUAAAUAACUAGGGGGGCCAGGCGGUUGUCCGGAUUUUAUUGGGGGGUAAAGCGAGUGCCAGGCGGUUCAAUAAGUCUGAUGUGAAACCCCUUCGCCUCAACCCGGAGGAAGUGCAUUCGGAAACCCGGGGCGACUUGAGUGCAGAAGAGGACAGUGGAACUCCAUGUGUAGCGGUGGAAUGCGUAGAUAUAUGGAAGAACACCAGUGGCGAAGGCGGCUGUCUGGUCUGCAACUGACGCUGAGGCUCGAAAGCAUGGGUAGCGAACAGGAUUAGAUACCCUGGUAGUCCAUGCCGUAAACGAUGAGUGCUAGGUGUUGGAGGGUUUCCGCCCUUCAGUGCCGGAGCUAACGCAUUAAGCACUCCGCCUGGGGAGUACGACCGCAAGGUUGAAACUCAAAGGAAUUGACGGGGGCCCGCACAAGCGGUGGAGCAUGUGGUUUAAUUCGAAGCUACGCGAAGAACCUUACCAGGUCUUGACAUCUUGCGCUAACCUUAGAGAUAAGGCGUUCCCUUCGGGGACGCAAUGACAGGUGGUGCAUGGUCGUCGUCAGCUCGUGUCGUGAGAUGUUGGGUUAAGUCCCGCAACGAGCGCAACCCUUGUUACUAGUUGCCAGCAUUAAGUUGGGCACUCUAGUGAGACUGCCGGUGACAAACCGGAGGAAGGUGGGGACGACGUCAGAUCAUCAUGCCCCUUAUGACCUGGGCUACACACGUGCUACAAUGGCGUAAACAAAGGGAGGCAAAGCGGUGACGCCAGGCAAAUCCCAAAAAUAACGUCCCAGUUCGGAUUGUAGUCUGCAACUCGACUACAUGAAGCUGGAAUCGCUAGUAAUCGCGAAUCAGAAUGUCGCGGUGAAUACGUUCCCGGGUCUUGUACUCACCGCCCGUCA
rnacentral:rRNA from 1 species